GCGCUCGUAGCUCAGCUGGAUAGAGUACCUGGCUACGAACCAGGCGGUCAGAGGUUCGAAUCCUCUCGGACGCG
rnacentral:tRNA from 1 species